AGUAAAAGUCGUAACAAGGUUUCCGUAGGUGAACCUGCGGAAGGAUCAUUAUUGAAACAUGGGGUCGCUCUGGUGAGCCCUGCGCCGGCGGAGACGUCGUGCUGCGGGACCCAGUCGGCUUCGUCCACCCUCACACCCCUGUGCACCUUUGGGAAGGCCGGGCCCCUGGCCCCGUCGGCCCGCUCACAGACUCUUGCAUUUGUACCAUGAAUGUCUCUGCGGACUCCGAGCCGCUUGAAAUUAGUAACAACUUUCAACAACGGAUCUCUUGGCUCUCGCAUCGAUGAAGAACGCAGCGAAAUGCGAUAAGUAAUGUGAAUUGCAGAAUUCAGUGAAUCAUCGAAUCUUUGAACGCACCUUGCGCUCCUUGGUAUUCCGAGGAGCAUGCCUGUUUGAGUGUCUUGAAAUCAUCAAGCCAUUGGUUUUUGCGGACCUUGGGCUUGGACUUGGGGGUCCUGCUGCGGUGACGUGGCUCCCCUUAAAUGCAUCGGUCGGACCUUUUGGGGCUCCUUUCUCCUGGGCGUUGUAGCAUCCUCGUCUGACGGGAGGGCCCUGUGCCGACCUCGGCCUGCCUCUGGAGCGGCGGCCAAUUUGAAUUGAAAUCUGACCUCAAAUCAGGUAGGACUACCCGCUGAACUUAAGCAUAUCAAUAAGCGGAGGAA
rnacentral:rRNA from 1 species